rnacentral:rRNA from 1 species
AUACGGAGGGUCCAAGCGUUAUCCGGAAUCAUUGGGCUUAAAGGGUGCGCAGGCGGUUUAAUAAGUCAGUGGUGAAAUCUCGGGGCUCAACCUCGAAACUGCCAUUGAUACUGUUAAACUUGAGUUCAGUUGGAGUAGGCGGAAUGUGUAGUGUAGCGGUGAAAUGCUUAGAUAUUACACAGAACACCGAUAGCGAAGGCAGCUUACUAAACUGAUACUGACGCUGAGGCACGAAAGCGUGGGGAGCGAACAAGAUUAGAUACCCUAGUAGUCC